AGUCAUAUGCUUGUCUCAAAGAUUAAGCCAUGCAUGUCUAAGUUCAAGCGAAAAUAAAGUGAAACCGCGAAUGGCUCAUUAUAUUGGUUAUGAUUUACAUGAUCGUACUUACUACUUGGAUAACUGUGGUAAUUCUAGAGCUAAUACAUGCGUUGAGCUCCAACCUUACGGAAGGAGCGCUUUUAUUAGAUCAAAGCCAAUCGGGCUCUCGGGUCCGUUAUUUUGGUGACUCUGAAUAACUUUGCUGAUCGCAUGGCCUUGUGCCGGCGACGGAUCGUUCAAGUUCCCAACCUAUCACCUUUCGAUGGUAAUAUAUAGGAUUACCAUGGGGUUAACGGGUACGGGGGUUUAGGGAUCGACUCCGGAGAGGCGGCGCGAGAGUCGGCCGCCACAUCCAAGGAAGGCAGCAGGCGCGCAAAUUACCCAUUGGGAGAUUUCCCGAGGUAGUGACGAAAAAUAACGAUACAGAACUCUUACGAGGCUCUGUAAUCGGAAUGAGUACACUUUAAAUCCUUUAACGAGGAUCUAUUGGAGGGCAAGUCUGGUGCCAGCAGCCGCGGUAAUUCCAGCUCCAAUAGCAUAUACUAAAAUUGUUGCACUUAAAAAGCUCGUAGUUGGAUCUCGGUUUCCGUCGAGUGGUGCACCUUGCGAUGUUUACUAUUUGACCGGGCGAUUUUGUUGGUUCGUUUGUAGUUCUCUUAACCGAGUGCUACAAGUGGCCAGCACGUUUACUUUGAAAAAAUUGGAGUGCUCAAAGCAGGCGCUACUGCCUGAACAAUUGUGCAUGGAAUAAUGGAAUAGGAUCUCGGUUCUAUUUCGUUGGCUUUCGGAGUCGAGGUAAUGAUUAAUAGGGACAGACGGGGGCAUUUGUACUGCGACGUUAGAGGUGAAAUUCUUGGAUCGUCGCAAGACAAACUACUGCGAAAGCAUUUGCCAAGAAUGUUUUCAUUAAUCAAGAACGAAAGUUAGAGGUUCGAAGGCGAUCAGAUACCGCCCUAGUUCUAACCAUAAACUUUGCCAAAUGACGAUCACAAGUCGUUAACUGAAUGACUCUUGUGGCAGUCCCCGGGAAACCUUAUCUGGGUUGUGGGGGAAGUAUGGUUGCAAAGCUGAAACUUAAAGGAAUUGACGGAAGGGCACCACCAGGAGUGGAGCCUGCGGCUUAAUUUGACUCAACACGGGAAAACUCACUAGGUUAAGACAAAAAUAUGAUUGACUGACUAAAGCUCUUUCUUGAUAUUUUGGGUGGUGGUGCAUGGCCGUUCUUAGUUGGUGGAGUGAUUUGUCUGGGUUAAUCCGAUAACGAACGAGACUCUGGCCUACUAACUAGAUUUGAUAUCCCAUUGUGGGUAUUAAAUGCUUCUUAGAGGGACGGGCGGCGUUUAGCCGCACGAGAAUGAGCAAUAACAGGUCUGUGAUGCCCUUAGAUAUUCUAGGCAGCACGCGCGCUACACUGAAGGAAUCAGCGUGUGUUCCCUAUCUGAAAAGAUUGGGAAACCCCUUGAACCUCCUUCGUGAUGGGGAUUGUGGAUUGGAAUUAUUUCACAUGAACGAGGAAUUCCUAGUAUGUGCGAGUCAUCAGCUUGCAUAGAUUAUGUCCCUGCCCUUUGUACACACCGCCCGUCGCUACUACCGAUCGAGUGAUUCAGUGAGGUGUUUGGACUGACCUUCGGUUUGGUUUUCGGAUCGAAUCGUAGUGUUGGAAAGAUCCCCGAACUUGAUUACUUAGAGGAAGUAAAAGU
rnacentral:rRNA from 1 species